rnacentral:tRNA from 1 species
UCCGGGGUAGCUCAGCGGCAGAGCGGGCGCCUGUUAAGCGCUUGGUCGGGAGUUCGAAUCUCCCCCCCGGAGCCA